UGAGAUGUUUGGAACAAGUACA
rnacentral:miRNA from 1 species